rnacentral:misc_RNA from 1 species
CAAGGAUUUUGUAAUACUCAAAUUGCUUACGGCAUAUACACGAUGCACGGAGCUAACGCAACGCGACGAUUACUCCGUUGGAGACUAAAACUCACCAGUUGGUGACGCCACCCUUCUCUCUUCCAAGGACUCUGAAUAGUGACCCGUAUCGACUUGGAAACAUGGAUAUCAAAGUAAGGUGGAGGGGUCUCCUUGUGGCACUGCUUUACGGCCAACUGCAGGACUGCCACUGUGGAGUUCGUGAACGCACCCUGGGAAGGGAUGGUGGAUGUCGAACAGAAGGAGGUUACACGCUCGAGGACGGGGAGGAGUUAAGCGCGGAACACCCCUGCGAACGCUACAAGUGCCGUGACGGGGAACUUACGACGGAAAGGUGUCGUCUGGCUUCCGAUAGAAUGUGUCGUCAGGUGUUUACAGGAGUGGGAGCGUACCCUCUCUGCUGCGGCCGUGCAGUGAUUUGCACUUGAAACGCCAAACAAAAAUUCCGAAACAAAGCAAGAACCACGGAAUUCAAGCGAAACCAAAACGU